UACAUGGGGUGCAAACGUUGCUCGGAAUUAUUGGGCGUAAAGCGCGCGUAGGCGGUUACUUAAGUCGGAUGUGAAAGCCCUCGGCUUAACUGAGGAAGUGCACCCGAAACUGAGUAGCUAGAGUACGAAAGAGGGUCGCGGAAUUCCCGGUGUAGAGGUGAAAUUCGUAGAUAUCGGGAGGAACACCGGUGGCGAAGGCGGCGACCUGGGUCGAGACUGACGCUGAGGCACGAAGGUCAGGGGAGCAAACGGG
rnacentral:rRNA from 1 species